rnacentral:lncRNA from 1 species
ACCAUUGCUGCACCUUCCUGUAGCCCCAGUAUCAAAGUCUAUCCCAUAAGGAAGGUAAUUAACUUUAGCUGAUUUGUCAAGGUAGUUAUUGUUUCCGUUAUCAAAGAGAGAAUCUCCAAAGACGAAGUAGCAAGGAACUUGAGGUACGGCCUUUCCAUAAGUCCAGUGUUGCCAGUUUGACACCAGCAACACCGCAGACAGCACCCACAAUGCCUUCAGCCCACUUUCCAUUGACAAGUAAAAUGAAAGAAGGAAACAGAAACAAUAAAUAUAGAAAGAAGAAGUGCGUAGCUAGGGAAGAGUGGUUUGAAGUAGAACGAACCAGGCCUAUUUAUAGAGUGGAGAUCUAGCUAUCUAGUGCAUCUUGUGAUGCGAACCUCGUGAUCACGUGGUCAUACAACCCACUCGCAAAGACAUCAAUUCCUAGAAAGCCAAGUAAAUCAAGUUUGAUAGGAGUGUGACACAAAAAUAACUUGUAUUUAGACACCAGCACUAUUGGAAACGAAGACCCCCACCCAACAAGUAUUAAUUCGCGAACGAGAAGUAUAAGAAUGAUGUCACGAAGAUAGUUAUUCUUCGAUAAGUCGUUUUUCAGUUUUUUAGAGAACCAUGAAAGAGAUAUUAUCCCACUAACACACACACACAAAGUGCGGCAAACAUAAAGUUUUAUUAAUCUGAAUUGUCUAACUUACAUGUCUGGUUAUGCCUUUAUUUAUACUAACUCUAGACUUAAAUAUACCCUAAUGGACCACUCUUAGGUGGACUUAUAUGAAGCCCACUUACAAUUGACCCAAAUAAGUAAUAAUAACCCAAAGACUAAGAAGAAAAUAAUAAAAAAUAAAUUAAAUCCAAAAAUUAUCAUCCUAAAUAUGCUAGAAUCAGAUUUGUCACCCUUAAGAAGUCCCCAAUAAACUAGGAAAUCUGAUCGGAAGGUAGAAUUAAUUUUGAAGUCUCUUUUGCUUGUUGUAGCUAGGAUGAAUAAGGAAUCCUUGUAAGAAAACGAUUUUGAAACAUUAAUGAAUCUUUACCACACUUGAAAAAUUAUAUUGCAGCCCAUUAAAGAUCCUUGUAGAAUUAGGAUAUUUCCAAAACAAGUUGUUACUUCCUUUUAGGAAAAAAAUCCUAGCCAAAUAGAAAGUCUACAAGUCAAAAUGAAGUAAAUAACAAAAUUCGUACAGCCUCUGUUGACCUCUAUUGCAAUGCAUUCCCGAACUCCGAUAGACCUGAAAUUUUAACCUAAGGUAGCUAGGACAAUAUAUCAGGAGACCCCACGUAAAAUUUCAACCUGAUCAACGGUCGGAUUGCGAAUUAUGACUAUUGAUGUAAAAUAAAAUAAUUGCAUACUUUACAUCAUAAUUUGACCUUACCUAGAUCAUAUCUUCUUGUAAGCGUGUUCUGUUGUAAGCCACUUGGUUUUUUCAAUCUAAAUAGGAGGGCACAUGUACUGUUAAUGUCUUUUACCUGAGCAUCAACUCCCGUAUGUUUGAAAUUGUAAUAAUAAUAAUAAAUUAAAAUAUAUAUUUUUUAGAAAUAUAUUAAAAUAUUUUUUUAUUUUUAAAAAAUUAUUUUUAAUAUUAAUAUAUCAAAAUAAUUUAAAAAUAUAAAAAAUUUAUUUUAAAUAAAAAAAUAUUAAAAUUUUUAAUGAAUAUGAUUUGCAUUGUGUUUUUAAACUGGAUCUAAAUAAGAGGGCACAUGCAGUAUUGUGCGGUUCAUCUUUUCUCAAACCUUAAUUUUCACAAUAUCUUGUAAGAUCACAACAAAAAUCAUAAUUCAAAAAAACUAAAAAUAUAAAAUAUAAAGCGAUCAAUACAAAGGAAAAAGGGCAUGGAAUUUGAUAUUUUUAUUAUUAUUUCUUAAGAGAGACUUUAUUCAUUAGCUGUAUAGGCAUAAUUAUAAGUGGUGUUUAUCAAUCACUUAUACGGCGUCGAGGCCCUUAUGAAACACACUAUACAUGCGUAAAAUGCCACACAAGAAGAAAUUUUUCAUAACUAUAGCAUGGUGGUCGAACUCCAGUUUUCUCUUUUUAGAGUUCUCAUGUCUUGAGAUGGUUAUUGAGAGAGGUGUAAUUAAUAAAAAAAAAUUAAUCAUUAUUGUACCCAGGGGCAAAGCAGGAAAAUAAAAUUAAAAGGGGUCAAAUUAGAUGAAUUAUUCUAGAAGGGCCAAGAUUUCAGUUGUUUCACUACUAAAACUAUAAACAUUGUUAAGGAAGGGGUUGAAAAAAAAAAUAACAUUUUCUUGCAAGGGUCGGGGCUUUUGCUAGCCCCUUUGUCUCCCCCACUGAUUGUACCCCACAUAUUUUUCAAUUGUUGCUAUCACUAUUUAAUGCAUCUUUUUAACCCUUCUUUUUUAUUUUAAGAAAUAGGUUACUAAUUCUAUAGAAUUAAAAAUUUUAUCUUAAUUUAAAUUAGUCUCAUAAAUGUUUCGAUUUUCUAUUAAAUGCACCUCUAAAAUCAUAUCAUUUCUUUAAAUAGUAUGCCAAUAAUACUAAAUAAAUAAAAUUUGAAAUUAAAUGCUUAACUUUUUUGUUUUUUUAUCUUAAAUAAUUGACACAAGAAAUUUAUAGAAACAUGAAAGUAAUUUUUUGAAAACGAAUUAGUUUAGAUGUCAAUAACAUGUUUAAAACCUAAUUAUAAAAGUGAUAUUAUUUUUAUUUUUUUCAAAUGAUGUAGAUCUAAAGAAAAAUAACUUACUAGAUUGCCAUUGAUUUCAUGUGUGAUGGCGAUAACUAUUAAGUAAACUAAACAAAUCAUAGCAAUCACAGCAGUGGCACCUCCAGACUAGCUGUAACCAUUUACAUCAAUACCAAAUCUUGUGUAUUCCAUAAUUCUAGGAUCAUUUUUUUUCCCGUUACAUAUCUUUGAUUGCCUAAACUUAUGCUCUUGGGUUGUAUAAAGAUACAGAGUAUGUAUAGAGACAUGUGUUUUUAUAAUAAGAACAACCAUAACAUUUUGCAUCCUCUUUAUGGUAUUAGAGUUGUAAUCUCUAACGAGUUUUUUUUUUUUUUUUAUCUUCUGCAACAUGGCUACCAUCUCUACAUCUACCAUUGAUUCACUCAUCAUCACUCUCAAUACCGCCACCACCAUCAAUGAAAAACUCACCCCUUCCACCUUUCCUCAGUGGAGAGCUCAAUUUGAGGCAUUACUCAUUGGUUAUGAUCUCAUUGACUUUGUCACCAGUGCAAAAGUAUUUCUAGUUGUUGAUACAACCAACUCUGCUGCCUCCACAACCAUGAGUUCCCACUAGCUUCACCAAAACAAACUCAUCCUCCAUGCCAUUCUUUCCUCCACCUCUACGACUAUCACCCCACUCCUUACUUUAUACAAAACAUCUCAUGAAGCUUGGACAACACUUACCCCUCUCUAUACUAAAAAAUCAAGAACACGAACGAUGCAGCUCAAGGAAGAUUUAACCUUAAGCACUCAUGAAAAUCACAUAGUUACUAAGUCCCUUCAAGCAAUUAAAAUGCUUGUUGACAAACUUGCAAUCAUCUAUCAUCUAAUUUCAAAUGAUGAUUUAACCCUUACAUCCUUAAUGGAUUGGGUCCCGAAUUCAGAGAAAUUGCAGCACCCAUUCGCACUAGUGACACUUCUUUGAAAUUUGAAGAUCUACAUGAUCUUCUUGUAGGUCAUGAAAAUUAUCUUCGAUGGUUGGAGAAUCAAUCGCCAACCUUUAUUCCCACUACAAAUUACUAUUAUCGGAAGGAACUGGGCAGUAUAAACCAAGCAAUAAGUCUUUCUUUCAGAAGACCCGCAGCUUAUAUGGGUACAACAAAUAUUGGCCCUCACCUUCAGGCUAUAGGAAAUUUAAGCCUAAGUGCUAGUGGUGUGAUCAAGUGGGCCGUACAGCAAAAAAUUGCCCAAAAAUGCCUUAUACUGAAUUCACUGCAAACUAUGCAGUAUCCUCUCAAGAGAAGAAACAAAAGUGACUAGUUGACUCAGCAGCAUCUCAUAAUAUGACCAUUCAUCUCUCUAAAUUGACGAUUAAUUCUGAAUAUGAUGGUACUGAUGAGGUGGUUAUUGGUGAUGGAUGAGGUUUGCCUGUAUCUCAUAUUGGUUCAUUAUCUAUAGCAUCAUCUAAACGUGUCUUUCAAUUACGUAAUACUCUUUGUGUUCCUACAAUUCAAAAAAAUCUUAUUUUUGUUCAUCAUUUCACCAAACAUAAUAAUGUUUAUCUUAAAUUUCAUCCUACUUAUUUUCUAGUGAAGGAUCGGAUCACGAGGGUGACAUUACUUAGAGGCGAUUGUGAAGAUGGUGUGUACCUAUUUCCAGAAUAACUACCUCUAAAAAAUGUUGUUGCCUAUGUCCACGAACAUACCACCACUAAUGGAUGGAACAAAAGACUUGGUCAUCCAUCGUCAAAAUUGGUUCAUCAUUUAAUUCACACUUUUUCUUUACCCACAAAUAAGAAUGAAUCCUUAUCUCUUUGUUCUUCAUGUUCUUAAAAUAAAGCACAUCGUCAGACUUUUAAUAAUCAUGGUCUCACUAGCAUUGCUCCAUUGGAUUUGAUUUAUAGAGAUGUUUGGGGUACUCCAUCACAUGCAGUUGGAAUCGAUGGUUCUAAAUAUUAUUUUAUUUUUGUUGAUCACUAUACCAAAUACACUUGGCUCUACCCUAUGACUCAUAAAUCAACAGUUCAAAUAAUUUUUCUGCAAUUCAGAAAUCUUGUGGAAAAUAAAUUUAACACCAAAAUCAAGAGUCUUUAUUCUGACAAUGGUGGAGAAUAUAUCAAUCUCAAAUCCUACCUUUCAGUUCAUGGAAUUAGUCAUUAUACGACCACUCCCCAUACCCCACAGCAAAAUGGUAUGUCUGAAAGACGUCAUCGAUACAUUGUUGAGACUGGUCUCAUCUUACUCAUAGAUGCUCACAAGCCCCUCUCAUACUGACCAUACGCUUUUCAAGUUGCGGCCUACCUUAUAAAUCGAAUGCCCACCUCCACCUUAAAUAAUCAAUCUCCGUUUGAAAAAUUGUUCAAACAACAUCCAAACUAUCUUAAACUCAAGCAAUUCAGCUAUCUUUGUUAUCCUUAUAAUCAACACAAGCUGGAACCUAAGGCCACACCAUGUAUAUUUAUGGGUUACUCACUCUCUCAAAAUUCUUAUCUCUGUCUUGAGUCGAAAACCCGAAAGUUGUUUCACUCUCGACAUGUCAUCUUCCACAAAGAGACUUUUUAUUUUUAGACCUCAUCCUCCACCAACGCCAUGCUCAUCUCACCUUCAUCAACAAUUAAAGACUCUGCUAUUCAAAUCUCCUUGCCGCAAGUUCCCGUGCCUUUUCCUCAUCCAAUAUAAUCUCUAGAAUUGGGUGUUGCUGCCUCACCAUCGUCUACAAAUGGAUCACCCCUUGCAUCUCUUCCUUCUCAUGUAAGUACUCCCUGCUCUCCCACUUUACUUUCCAGCCAAAUUCCUCCAUUAGAAGUGCCUGCCCCUGCUAUUUCUGAGCACACUGACGUGCGCACCCACAGAAUGACCACUCGUUCCAUGAAUGAUAUUUACAAACUAAAAAAAAUCCUUUGUAGUCACUAAACACCCUCUUCCAGCCUUCUUGGAACCUACAAGUGUCUCUAAAGCACUCACUGAUUCCAACUGGCGCACUGCCAUAUCCUCUGAAUUGAUUGCGUUAAUGUCUCACAAUACAUGGCACCUUGUUCCCCCUAAUUGUAAUAUUAUUAGCUGUAAAUGGGUGUUCCAGAUUAAAAGGCAUGCAAGUGGUUUAAUUGAUCGAUUUAAGGCCAGACUAGUAGCCAAAGGGUUCAAUCAGAGACUAGGACUAGAUUACAAAGAGACAUUCAGUCUAGUUGUAAAAUCAGUGACCAUUCGUAUUGUCUUAACCAUUGCCAUUAUGCAAGGUUGGUCUCUCAUGCAAUUAGAUGUAAAUAAUGACUUUCUUCAUGGGCAUCUCACUGAAAAAGUCUAUAUACUGCAACCGCCUGGUUUCAAGAGUAUGGAAAAUCCACAUCAUGUUUGUUGUCUUAUAAACAUAAUAUACGGGCUAAAACAAGCACCUCAUGCUUGGUAUUUUGUUCUCAAAAUGGCACUCUCAAAAUUUGGUUUCAUCAAUGCUAAAUCUGACUCUUUUCUCUUUGUGUUUUCUGAUGGUUUAAUACUUGUAUAUUGCCUCGUUUAUGUUGAUGAUUUGAUCCUCACUAGAAACAACACGCCAUUUGUUGCAAGCAUUAUUGCACAGCUUGGACAAAAAUUAUCCAUCAAGGACUUGGGGCCCUUACAUUUUUCCUUGGAAUUGAAGCCAUCCCUACUGCUGAUGGCUUGUUUCUAAAUUAGCAUCAGUAUAUUCGAGACUUGCUUACUAAAACCAGUAUGGAUGGAGCUAAGGAUGUCACAACUCCCCUCUCUGUCUCGGUUCCUUUAAAGCUGGCAGAUGGUUCCUCAACAAUUGAUCCCACAAAAUAUUGAUGAGUGAUUGGUGCAUUGCAAUACCUCAGCUUAACUCGUCUUGAUAUCAGUUUUGCAGUCAAUAAACUCUCACAAUUUAUGCAUCGUCCAACACAGAUUCACUGGACCGCCACAAAAUUACUACGGUGUUAUCUAAAUAACACUAUCUUCAUGGCAUAAAUAUCAGGAACACUUCAAACCUAGCCUUGACAUGUUUCUCAUAUGCUGAUUGGGAUGGUAGCUUGGAUGACAGAAAAUCAACUUCAUCUUAUAUUAUUUUCCUUUGUCCCACAUUUAUCUCAUGGAGCUCGAAAAAGCAACGUGCCAUUGCUCGGUCAUCCACCGAAGCUAAAUAUAAGGCUUUAGCCACUGCUGCAGCUGAGUCCAUGUGGCUGCUCUCCCUACUUCACAAAAUGAAGUUUUCCUUACUACACUCACCUAUACUUUUCUGUGAUAAUUUAGGAGGCACUCAGUUAAGAUUUAAUCCUAUCAAGCACUCAAGAAUGAAGCACAUUCAAAUAGACCUUCACUUUGUGCGAGAUUUGGUUGAAAAAAAGCUUAUUCAUGUUCGUCAUGUCCACAUUAAUGACCAGCUUGCUGAUUUACUCACCUAGCCACUUUCUAGACAAUGGACAUAAUUUCUACGAGACAAGAUUAGCCUAACUGAUGGUAGCUCGUUCUUGCGGGGGCGUAUUAAGGAAACUAAGAAAAUCACAUCAAUCACAGCAGUGCCACCUCCAGUCUAGUUGUCACCAUUUAUGUCAAUACCAAAUCUUGUGUAUUUCAUAAUUUUAGGAUCAAUUUUCUUUCUAUUAAAUAUAUUUGAUUGCCUAAACUUAUGCUCUUGGGUUGUAUAAAGAUACAGAGUAUAUACAGAGACAAAUGUGUAUUUUUAUAAUAAGAACAACCAUAACAUUUUGCAUCCUCUUUAAUAACUACUAUGAGUUUUCAUAUGACAGUAAUUUUACUGAAGGGUAUGAUGUAGAAGAUGGGUGGCUUUCCUGAAGUAGUUGAGGUCUCUAUAGAUUAGUGAAACUUUUUAUUUUUUAUUGGAAAAAAACUUGGAAAAGAAAAUUAUUUUGUGAUACGGAACUAGCUCUUCGACUCCAAAUCUAGGAGAAUAUGUCAUUUAAAUAAGGAUUUAGAAAUUGAGUUUUGUUAUUCAAAAGAGAUAAACUCUUAUCUGUUGGUUGUUAAAUCUUUCAUCAAUGAGAUCCAGUAAAAUUAUUUGUUUCUGCAUUACUUUAUGGUAAUGAGAGACUCAUUUUUGUGUGAUUUGAAAGAAAAAUCUUGUCAUAGAAAAAUCUGAAAAGACUCGAUUUUGUCGGGAAGAUCAUAUUUUAUCCAUAAUAUUAAAUAUUUUGUUAUAACUUAUAACUAUUCUCUUGUAACAAUAAAUUAUGUUUUUAUAUUUUUUAUUGAAUUGAUGUAAGAAUAUUAAUUUAUUUUGUAUAAACUUAAUAUUAAUAAAAUUAUUAUAUUUUUUUUAAAAAAAUGACUAGUGCUGUUAAUUGUAAAUAAUUAUGUGAAUAUUGUAAAUACUUAUCAUAUACGAAAGGACUGGUCGUAUUAUUUCAAGGACGAUCAAUUUAAUUUGAUAAUUGAAUAUAUUAUAAGGCUGAACCGAAAGGACUGUUGGCAGUAAGAAAUAGUAUAUGAUUGAAUUAUUUUGGAUUCUUGGACAUAAUGAAGCAAUUCGCUUUUAAUUCUUCAGCUACCAUAAUUAAUAAUAUUGAGGUGAAAGAGCCGUUCGAAGAAAAGCGCCUUGUGUUAUAUUAAUAAUAUUUUUUUUAUUUUUUAAAAAUUAUUUUUGAUAUUAGUAUAUCAAAAUGAUUUAAAAAUAUUAAAAAAAUAUUAAUUUAAAGUUAAUAAAAAAAUAAAUAAAUAUUAAAUUUUUUGAAAAACGCUAUUGAAACGUGGAAACAAACAGUCUCGUCAUUGAUAUGAAAAACCUUCCAGGAAAUAAAAAACACUAGACAAUUAUCAUCCAAAUUAAAUACAAAAUUAAUGAAUUAAUAUAACAUUAAUAUUUUUAUAUAUAAAAUAACACAUUUUUAAACAUCAUUGUUCAUAAAGAUAAUAUAUAAUUAAUAUCAUAUUUUUGAACCAUGAUAUCAAUUUAAUAAAAAUUUUAUCAUCAAUAUUUUUAGCCAAAACGCGUCAUUUCAUUUAAAUGAAAAUAGCUUUGAAGUUGACCGUGUUUUUCAUUUUGGUUCUUGGUCUUGAAUUUAUACAAUUAGACUCUCAUUUUUAAAUCAUUUUUAAAUCAUUUUUUUCCCCAUUUAAGUCGACGUUGAUAUUGCUCGUUUUCAAAAAAAUACAAAAAAAUAAGAAAAAUCAAAAUUUACAAAAAAGAAAGAAGUUGAGGGACCAAGUUGAAAAACCUAGCAACAUUUUGCCUAUAAAUACUGGUUUCCUCAACACAUUCAAGGGGGGGCAAUUUUGACAACAUCUAAAAAAAAAUACAGAAAACCCUAACCUAAACCCUCUCAUACACAGCCGCCCCUUCCCUAAAAAAAAAGACAGCCGCCCCACCUUUGGCUUGGAUUUUUCGAGACCAGCCCUCUCGGCAAAAGAAAAAAACCAAAAACCCCCACCUCCUGGUUUUGAAUUUUUUCCAACAGCCGCCCCGACCUUGGCCUUUGAUUUUUGGAGAUCAGCCAAACAGCCGCACAUGAUUUUUUGAAUUUUUCUUCCCCAAAAAAAACAGUCGGACUCCAGCCUCCUCUUCCCCGGCGAUCAUUCCCUUCACCCGACUCACCCAAAACCAGAAAAAAAACCAAAGGAUCGGCACCUUUCCCCCCCGCUGGGUUCGAUUUUUUUUCUCUCCUUCCUCUCCCCUGCACACCGGCCUCAACUCCAAGCCAACCAGCGGUGAUCCCCCCUCCACAGAUCCUCCCUCUACUCUCCGCAGCUCCUCCCCCAGCGGCGGCCGAACAGAAGCAAGCCACCGCCUUCCAGAUCCUCCACCAAGCCACCGAUCUGCCACCCGAAGCAGAGGAGAAGAAGACGAAACCCAGCGGCGCCACCCGUUGCUCCGGGCUCCAGCAGUCGUCGCCUGUACAGACGAUCUGAAGAAGAAGAGGGAGCAGCAGGCGGAGAAAGAAAGAACAAAAAAAAACAGAUUUGAAAAAACUAAGAAAAACUUAAAAUUGACUGCCCUGGCUGUGUGUUUUUUUUUAUUUGCAGGGGAAGAGAUCGAAGAGAGGAGGAAGCAUUGCAGCCCCCCCCCUCACGCUGCCUGAUUUUCGGGGCGGCGCGUGGGGUCCACGCGCCGUUACUGUUCAGGCAGCCCAGAACUGUUCCUGAAGGGUUUCCCAGCACUGUUAUGGAUUGUUUAGGGACCAUUUUGUAAAUUUUAAAGUUUUAAUGUAAUUUUUGUUUAUUUAGUUUAAAUUUGUAAUAUGUGAAUGUAAAAAGAAAAAAAAAGAAGAAAAGAAAAGAAAAUAAUAAUAACAAAGGGGAUGUGUGUGUUGGCGUAUUUUUAUUUAUUUAUUUUGAAUUUGUAUUUGUAUUUGUAUUGUGGAUGUAAAAGAAAAGAAAAGAAAAGAAAAGAAAAGGAAAAAAAUGAAAAUAGUGAAAGUGUAUGUGUGUGUUUGUAUUUGUUUUAUGAAUUUGUUAUUUUAUUUAUUUCAUUAUUUAUUUUUUAGGAUAAAAUUGCAAAUCUAUUAAAGAAGAAUUUAAUAUUUUGAUCGGAUCACGGUUAAGAAUUAUUAACUUAUACGUAAGUGAUAUUUCUAAUUUCCGACGAAAAGACAAUUAUUAAAACUUCUUUAACACAUCAAAGUCGCGAAGCAGCUUACCUCAGGUAGGGUGCGUUAGGGGUGCUAAUACCUUCCCUAACCACAACUAGUUCCUUACCCGCGAAUCUCUGACCAGACCAGUCUAUCCGGUUUCCUAGUAGCCUUCAAUAAAUUACUAGGUGGCGACUCCAACGAACCAAAUUCAAACAUUACGCAACGAGACUUAAAUCGCCAGCCGAUGCCGCGCGCUGAUUUUUUUUUGGGGUGCGACAGAAUGGCGACUCCACUGGGGACGGUACUGUUUCUGACAUUAUUGGACUAAGCUUUGUGUAUUUGAUGUGUUUAAGUUUUUGCAUUUUUAUCUUUUUGUUAAUAUUUAUUUCCAUGCAUUUUAUAGAAUUGUUUCAUGCAUCACCUGUAUUUAUUUUUAAAAGCACACACAAGCUUCUAGGUUAGGUGGGGAACUAGCGAUCUGCCCUAAGACUAUCGGUCAGGGUUCAGAUGCGUGAAACACCCAACUCAUAUCUGAGUGCCUGCCUGGUAAUGGUGGGUAUACGUGCCUUAACCAUUCCUUGCAACGCCCCCAUACUGUCUUUACGAAGAACGUCACUGGGCAGAUAUGAGACCCUUUUGAGACUAGAUAGAAAACCUACCCAUGUUCACAUAAUGAAUAGAACCUGUCCUCAGGUUGUAUGUGCUACCGUUUUUUGCAUAAGGGCAAACCCUUCUUGAAGCAUCUUGAACUCGAGACUUGUGGGUGACACGUUGGCCGUUGCUCCGAAAAUUUUCAUUGUAGAGUUUGGGCAAAAAUCACGAUUCUUGUCCAUCAUACAAGAGUUACGACCAUAUUGUCACCUCUCGAAGGGUGCGUUCAUCAUAUAGAUUACAUGUUCAUACAUUUAUCAUGCAUGAACCGGGUCAAAACGUAGGUCCCCUGUACAAGUUGUGCUGCACGAGAUUGAAGAAAGAUAAUGGAAGUGAACAAAGGAGUCAGAUAUAGGUUAGUAUCAGAUUAAGGUUGAGAGCAUCAAGGGUGAAGUAGCGGGACUCAGAUCUGCUCGAACAAGUGUUGAGCAUCAAAUGGAAAGAGAAUAUCUGCACAGUCUUAUGUGGGAACACUGCUUGUUCACAUCUAAUUGAAGCUGCAUCUCUCCUUUUUCGUCAUGAACAAAAGCAACAACGCCUUCAAUCAUCAACUAAUGACAACUCUGAUUCUUGUCCAGUUGCAUUGUUAAGUGUUCAUCGCCUCCACAUCAUCUAAUGGAACCAAACAACUACCGGUCUCCUGUACAUGGUGCAUUAAUCUGCUUUGAAGUUACCCCGAUUACGAGCUCAACUCCAGUUCAGCAGCACAAGAUGGUCUGAAAAAACCAUGAUUGAACACUGAACUUCAAUGUGGCAGAGCUCUCUCUACAAAAAUCAAUUUAUGGCUCUGCAAAUUGGGAAUACAAGAGGGGAUUUAUAAGUUGCAUAUGCUACAAAUAUUUCUCUCAUCAGUUUCAGCACGAAGACCUCUUAGUAGGUUGAAGAGCCAGACCUGGUCUGAAAAAUAUGAGCAGACAUCAAACUUCAAUGUAGCAGAGCUCACUCAGCAGGAAUCUGUUUGUGGAUCCGCCAGUGGGAAGUCCAAGAAGGAAUACAGUAGUUUUAGGUCAUCUAUGAUUUUCCUCGAACAGUGUCAGUAUUAAAACGCAAAAGUAGAGAGAAGAGACAUGCCUAGACUGAAAAACAUGAACAAUACUGAAACUUCAACAGAGCAGGACUUCCUUUAUAGGUGUUUGUUUGCUGCACUGUCAGUGAGAAAUCGAAGAGGGGACAAAGGAGUUUUUAGAUUCAUCAGGUGCUCUUCCAAUAGAGACAACGUGUGAUUCCACACGUCGGUAGUGGCGAUACUACAAGUUUCUGGGUGCUGCCAAGAUUACCAAGCUGUUAGAAAGUUUUCUAACAAUCCUCAACCAACCAUAGCAACAUUGGAAGAUUGAAAUAAUGUUGUGAGGAUUUGCCGAACAAUUGAACAAGCUAUGAAGAGAAGAAAGAUUGAAGGAUCUGCCAUGGAUUCUAGAACAAUGAUGAGAGGUGAAUCAGGAGAUGACUUUGACGGUGUGAGCCCUUAAUUAUGGGGUAUAGCCAGGUCUCACGGUAGCAUCAAUUACUCAAAUAUCUUUGCCAAGAUGGGACAUUCCCUGCCAUUUAAGUUUGUCGACCAGCAUCUGCCAGAUUCCAGAAUUUUGCUUGACUCCGACAAAUCCUAUGCAACCACCAUUUUCUAGGUGGUUUAAUCCAGAUAAGAGAUGUGAUGUCAUGAUGGGGUCCUCAACCAUUUCAAUUGAUCAAUUGCAAGAAUUUCGAGAAGCGAGUCUGGAAGUUGGUGAGCAAGAGACAGGUGGAGUCGUUGAAGAAGGGUGUCACUGGCUAUAUUGUUCCCCGAACAUCUUCAUAAGGACAUGUGAUCGAAAAUGCUUGGCAAAACACAGAUAUUGCCAGAAAAGCUGAUUCGAGAAGGGUGAUGAAUAGUCAAUCAUAUUGUUAUGGAAUUCUGCAUUUUGUUUUGGGAUCACAUCUCAUCCUUCAACGAAACAUGCCUUGCUUUUGUCUCUUUGUUGUUUUGAAAUCAACAGAUGUUUAGCAUUUUAUUCUGACAAAAUAUUUUGAUCAAACUACAACAUGCGAUAAAGGUUAAUCAAUCCGGAAGAUUAGAAGUGUUUUGAUUACAGAAAUGACUCUAUGCUUGAAAAUGACAUGAGGUGACCAAACAAUUUUGAACUCAUACCUUUUGAAACUGAACCACACAUCAUAUAGCUAAGUUUUAGCAGUAUGCAUAAUGACAUGUAGUGGAUUCAAUAGUUAUGGACUCGUGAAUCAUGAUUCUUACAAGUCCUAAUCAUUACACUGGAUGAGGUCAAAAUUUAUCGGUUUUAACCGACCUUGCUUGAAAUGAGAAAAGGCCAUCUUUGAUAUCCCUUCACUUUCUAAAGAUUAUAUCCCUUGCAGUCCCAUUUUGAGCCUGGUAAAAUAUUUUCUUUCAAAAAAGAAAACCUUGACUAGGAUCACACCCCACACUGGGGGCAAAUGAGAGAUAUUUUGGAGACAUUGAUAUAAUUAAUGGAUAAAGGGGAAGGCUUAGAACAAAGGUCCAAUGAUUGAGAGAGAGCUAAAAGAAAACACAUAGACUGGGGGCAUAUAAGAAAAUUUUGAGGAAGGCUAUGAAAAAAAAGAGAAUAAAAAAAGGAAGUUGAAAUUGCCCUCACUUAAAUACAAGUCAAAGAUAAAGGAAGGAGAACGCCUAUCAAGUCUAUGAAGAGCAAAAGAAAUUUCAAUCAAGGAAAUGCACAACAAAAGUCAAUACCAGAAAAGACUAAGCUAUAAACGUGACUUUUGGUGUCCAUUAUAAAGCUUUUGAUGUUAUCAGAUGAUUAAGGUUGGUUAUUCAUCAAGGAAAGGUGGAUUUGCAUUAUAACUUAUGUUAAGAAAAGUCUGAACUUUGAGGUUAACAAGGUUAUAUGUCGUUUCCUCUACAAAGACAACAAUAUAAAAGAGUUGAUGAAUAGUUGAUGUUGAUCCUAGGUCUUUGAAACCCUCAAACACCUUUUGAGCCUUUGAAAUUCCUUUCUUUCAUAGCCAUGAACCAUAGCCUGCAUUACGUGCUUUUAAAAGCCCUUUUUAAUCAAGCAAGCAAUUUGAACCGAUAAAUGGCGCUCUCAAAAUUUGAAGAGUUUUUCCAUAAGGGUCGUGACUUCAUGAAUUAAGCUAUUGGUUAUUAUGCAUGCUGAUAAAACAAGUUAUAAGAAGAGAAACAACCUUUCUUGAUAAAGCCGGAGUUUUGACUUGAAUUUUGUUUUUUUUGAAAUUCAUGCAAAGGUCACCUCAUCAGACUAUCAAAUGAUAUACCCAAUAUCAAGGAUUCAAAUUGAUACAAAGAACCAUGGAAAAAGCCAUUUUUUAAUCCUACAUUGGGUCAAUUUCUGUUUUCAAAAUGCAUGACAAUCAAAGGACGAUAUAUUUCGAAUAAAAUGUGUUGGGCCUUUGAUCAAAAAGCUUGAUUUUCAAAAGAUUUUGAAAAAAGACAUCUCUGAUUUCAUUUCAACAAAUUAGACUUUGAAUAGACAUGAUCUUUGAAAUAUGAGAGUUGAUUCCAGAACAAGGAAGAUCAUCAAACACAGAAGAACAUUGAUUGAGUAUGCAAAAUCGUUGAUAGAAAUGACAUUGAAGUCCUCGACACUCCUUGAAAAGUUGAGCAGCUGAGGGCAAUACAGUAGACCUUGAAAAGGAAAAACAAGCAGUGCUCAGAUCAGCUAUGAGGCAAUGUUUAAAUGAUGAAUCAGUGAACUGAAGACAAUGAUGUUCAAAGACAGAUAAUCAAUGAACGAGCACACACGGAUCAUACUGGGGGCAAUGUCAUUCCAAAAUGGCCCAUGCUUUAGUUGAAUCCUGUCGGCAAUGGAGAAACAAAAACGUACCUGAAGGGCACUUUCCUAUCAUCAUUUUUUGAAACAGGGCUCGCGAUCGAUGAGGAAUACACAGAUGAAUGUAAUUGAAUGGAGAAAAGAUGCAUACCACCAAGACUGACUGUGGAACAAUGCUGCACUUAAAGGACAAUCUCAUAUUGUCAUUCUUUGAAAUAUGGUUAUAGACAGAUGUUAUCACACACUGCACUGAAUGAAUGUCGGAAAGGCACCCACCUCGAAGACUGAUUGUGGGACAUCUAUUCUGAAGCUCAAAUGCGCACUUCACCGCAUGAAUAUGGGUGAUAACAUGAACAUCAUUGAUGAUGCCAAAGCAGGUAUUUUCACGAUCUGAUUUGACAAGCUAAGAGGAAUCCAUAGAGAAAUACAUCGCGCUUACAAUGAUGAGUUGUUUACUGCAAAGCAUGAGAUACAUGUCUGGAUGACUUGGCAGUUCCAUGAAGGCUGGUGACCAUACAUACUUGAAUGGUGUUUCAACCGAAGACAAGUUCAUGACUGAUUAACAAACGUGAUGGGUGUUGGCAUGAUGCAUACAAUCAAUCAGAGGAUAAGUUCUCAGAAGAAGCCAGGAGAGAAAAUCUCUCAUGAUGAAUCAAGCAGUACUACACUUGGGGGCAGGGUCAAGCUUCAUGAACGAUGCAAGCAGUAAUUGUCGAAGACAGCCCGGGAUGGGCACUGCAUUUACAGCUGAGUGGAUGGCUAACACAUGAAUGAGCCAAUACAUCGGAAGAACAAAGAAAGCUUUGGGAUACAAACAAGGGCACCCUAUGACGAUGGAGCAUCAAAGAGGGGGGACCUAUAUUUCAAAUCAGGUAAGGAUGCAUGCAUAUCAUCUAACCUCAAAAAAAAAAAAAAAAAAAAAAACACACACCAUUUGCACAUAUUUUUCAAUUAUCACAGGAAAAUCCCAAAGAAAUGAAGAGAUCAACAUUGCAACCGGGAAGCCUCGAGUUUUCAACCCUUGCAGUCAGGAAACACCGAGUUUUCAAACCCCAUGAUCAGGAAUUAGCAGGAAGCACCGAGUUUUCCAGCCCUUUCUUCUGUCAUCCCUUCAGAACUUCGCCAGGUAAGUCCUAUUUUUCACACCGCACUUCAUCAUAUUUUUUCCAUCUGGGUAGGUCACCCAUUACAAUGAGACCACACUUCAUAUUUUUUCCACGUGGGUAGGUCACCCAUUACAAUGAGACCGCACUUCACUUUUUUUCCAUCUGGGUAGGUCACCCAUACAAUGAGACCAUCAUUUUUCUGGGGUUCGUCACCCAUACAAUGAGACCAUCAUUUUUUUGGGUUCGUCACCCAUACAAUGAGACCAUCAUAUUUCUAGGGUUCGUCACCCGUACAAUGAGACCAGCAUUUUUCUAGGGUUCGUCACCCGUACAAUGAGACCAGCACUAGGGUUCGUCACCCGUACAAUGAGACCAGCACUAGGGUUCGUCACCCGUACAAUGAGACCAGCAGCACUAGGGUUCGUCACCCGUACAAUGAGACCAGCAUUUUUCGAGGGUUAGUCACCCGUACAAUGAGACCAGAAGGAGGUCGCCAGAUGGGAUCUCAUGUAGCUUUGGUUAAAGGGAAUUGCCAGAUGGGAUUUCAGGUUAACCGAGUUACACAUAUUUCAUUCCAGAAGGAGGUCGCCAGAUGGGAUCUCAUGUAGCUUUGGUUAAAGGGAAUUGCCAGAUAGGAUUUCAGGUUAACCGAGUUACACAUAUUUCGUUCCAGUUGAAUGAGGUCGCCAGAUGGGAUCUCAUGUAACUUUGGUUAAAGGGAAUCGCCAGAUGGGAUUUCAGGUUAACCGAGUUACACAUAUUUUCGUUCCAGUUGAAUGAGGUCGCCAGAUGGGAUCUCAAGUAAACCCAAUGUAUGGGCAGGUCGCCCGUGAAAAUAGACUAUUGGGAGAGUGCGGGUCGGUCGCCCGUGAAAAUAGACUUGAGUGAGUACGUGUGGGUAGGUCGCCCGUGAAAAUAGACCAGAGUGAGUAUGCGUGGGCAGGUCGCCCGUGAAAACAGAUCAGUGUGAGUGUGUGGGCAGGUCGCCCAAGAUAAUGAAAUCAUUUUCCUUUUGUUUUCUUUACAAAGCUUACUAUGCAAAAAUUUGAAGAGUUUUGCUUCGUAAGCAUGUGUAAAGAGGGGGCAUCUGGUACCCAAGUUUUGACCCAUGUUUUGAUAUAUUUCAAAAAAAAUCCAAAAAAUUGAGAAAAGCAAAAAAAUCCAAAAAUAUGUUUUUAAUAUAUUUUCGUCAUUUUAGCAUUUCAACGUCGUUUAAAAAGGAAUUUAAAUUGUUAAAAGAUUUUCAAACGCGUUCGACGUUUCACGCGUCAUUUGUAAAUCAUUGAUUUCCGCAUUUAAGUCGACGUUGAUAUUGCUCGUUUUCAAAAAAUACAAAAAAAUAAGAAAAAUUAAAAUUUACAAAAACAAAGAAGUUGAGGGACCAAGUUGAAAAACCUAGCAACAUUUUGCCUAUAAAUACUGGUUUCCUCAACACAUUCAAGGGGGGGGCAAUUUUGACAACAUCUAAAAAAAAAUACAGAAAACCCUAACCUAAACCCUCUCAUACACAGCCGCCCCUUCCCUAAAAAAAAAGACAGCCGCCCCACCUUUGGCUUGGAUUUUUCGAGACCAGCCCUCGGCAAAAGAAAAAACCAAAAACCCCCACCUCCUGGUUUUUGAAUUUUUUCCAACAGCCGCCCCGACCUUGGCCUUUGAUUUUGGAGAUCAGCCAAACAGCCGCACAUGAUUUUUUGAAUUUUUCUUCCCCAAAAAAAAACAGUCGGACUCCAGCCUCCUCUUCCCCGGCGAUCAUUCCCUUCACCCGACUCACCCAAAACCAGAAAAAAAACCAAAGGAUCGGCACCUUUCCCCCCGCUGGGUUCGAUUUUUUUUUCUCUCCUUCCUCUCCCCUGCACACCGGCCUCAACUCCAAGCCAACCAGCGGUGAUCCCCCCUCCACAGAUCCUCCCUCUACUCUCCGCAGCUCCUCCCCCAGCGGCGGCCGAACAGAAGCAAGCCACCGCCUUCCAGAUCCUCCACCAAGCCACCGAUCUGCCACCCGAAGCAGAGGAAGAAGACAAAACCCAGCGGCGCCACCGUUGCUCCGGGCUCCAGCAGUCGUCGCCUGUACAGACGAUCUGAAGAAGAAGAGGGAGCAGCAGGCGGAGAAAGAAAGAACAAAAAAAAACAGAUUUGAAAAAACUAAGAAAAACUUAAAAUUGACUGCCCUGGCUGUGUGUUUUUUUUAUUUGCAGGGGAAGAGAUCGAAGAGAGGAGGAAGCAUUGCAGCCCCCCCCCUCACGCUGCCUGAUUUUCGGGGCGGCGCGUGAGCCCACGCGCCGCCAGUCACGGCGGUGCGUGGGGUCCACGCGCCGUUACUGUUCAGGCAGCCCAGAACUGUUCCUGAAGGGUUUCCCAGCACUGUUAUGGAUUGUUUAGGGACCAUUUUGUAAAUUUUAAAGUUUUAAUGUAAUUUUUGUUUAUUUAGUUUAAAUUUGUAAUAUGUGAAUGUAAAAAGAAAAAAAAAAGAAGAAAAGAAAAAAAAAUAAUAAAAAGGGAUGUGUGUGUUGGCAUAUUUUUAUUUAUUUUUUGAAUUUGUAUUGUAUUUGUAUUGUGGAUGUAAAAGAAAAGAAAAAGAAAAGAAAAGAAAAGAAAAAAAAAUGAAAAUAGUGAAAGUGUAUGUGUGUGUUUGUUUUGUUUAUGAAUUUGUUAUUUUAUUUAUUUCAUUAUUUAUUUUUUUAGGAUAAAUUGCAAAUCUAUUAAAGAAGAAUUAAUAUUUUGAUCGGAUCACGGUUAAGAAUUAUUAACUUAUACGUAAGUGAUAUUUCUAAUUUCCGACGAAAAGACAAUUAUUAAAACUUCUUUAACACAUCAAAGUCGCGAAGCAGCUUACCUCAGGUAGGGUGCGUUAGGGGUGCUAAUACCUUCCCUAACCACAACUAGUUCCUUACCCGCGAAUCUCUGACCAGACCAGUCUAUCCGGUUUCCUAGUAGCCUUCAAUAAAUUACUAGGUGGCGACUCCAACGAACCAAAUUCAAACAUUACGCAACGAGACUUAAAUCGCCAGCCGAUGCCGCGCGCUGAUUUGUUUUUGGGGUGCGACAAGUAUAUCAAAAUGAUUUAAAAAUAUUAAAAAAAUAUUAAUUUAAAGUUAAUAAAAAAAUAAAUAAAAAUUAAAUUUUUUGAAAAACGCUAUUGAAACGUAGAAACAAACAGUCUCGUCAUUGGUAUGAAAAACGUUCCAGAAAAUAAAAAAACACUAGACAAUUAUCAUCCAAAUUAAAUAAAAAAUUAAUGAAUUAAUAUAACAUUAAUAUUUUUCCUUGGCAUUAAUAAAAAAUUAAUGAAUUAAUAUAACAUUAAUGAAAAUUAUCCAUCAAGGACUUGGGGCCCUUACAUUUUUCCUUGGCAUUGAAGCCAUCCCUACUGCUGAUGGCUUGUUUCUAAAUUAGCAUCAGUAUAUUCGAGACUUGCUUACUAAAACCAGUAUGGAUGGAGCUAAGGAUGUCACAACUCCCCUCUCUGUCUCGGUUCCUUUAAAGCUGGCAGAUGGUUCCUCAACAAUUGAUCCCACAAAAUAUCGAUGAGUGAUUAGUGCAUUGCAAUACCUCAGCUUAACUCGUCUUGAUAUCAGUUUUGCAGUCAAUAAACUCUCACAAUUUAUGCAUCGUCCAACACAGAUUCACUGGACCGCCACAAAAUUACUACGGUGUUAUCUAAAUAACACUAUCUUGCAUGGCAUAAAUAUCAGGAACACUUCAAACCUAGCCUUGACAUGUUUCUCAUAUGCUGAUUGGGAUGGUAGCUUGGAUGACAGAAAAUCAACUUCAUCUUAUAUUAUUUUCCUUUGUCCCACAUUUAUCUCAUGGAGCUCGAAAAAGCAACGUGCCAUUGCUCGGUCAUCCACCGAAGCUAAAUAUAAGGCUUUAGCCACUACUGCAGCUGAGUCCAUGUGGCUGCUCUCCCUACUUCACAAAAUGAAGUUUUCCUUACUACACUCACCUAUACUUUUCUGUGAUAAUUUAGGAGGCACUCAGUUAAGAUUUAAUCCUAUCAAGCACUCAAGAAUGAAGCACAUUCAAAUAGACCUUCACUUUGUGCGAGAUUUGGUUGAAAAAAAGCUUAUUCAUGUUCGUCAUGUCCACAUUAAUGACCAGCUUGCUGAUUUACUCACCUAGCCACUUUCUAGACAAUGGACAUAAUUUCUACGAGACAAGAUUAGCCUAACUGAUGGUAGCUCGUUCUUGCGGGGGCGUAUUAAGGAAACUAAGAAAAUCACAUCAAUCACAGCAGUGCCACCUCCAGUCUAGUUGUCACCAUUUAUGUCAAUACCAAAUCUUGUGUAUUUCAUAAUUUUAGGAUCAAUUUUCUUUCUAUUAAAUAUAUUUGAUUGCCUAAACUUAUGCUCUUGGGUUGUAUAAAGAUACAGAGUAUAUACAGAGACAAAUGUGUAUUUUUAUAAUAAGAACAACCAUAACAUUUUGCAUCCUCUUUAAUAACUACUAUGAGUUUUCAUAUGACAGUAAUUUUACUGAAGGGUAUGAUGUAGAAGAUGGGUGGCUUUCCUGAAGUAGUUGAGGUCUCUAUAGAUUAGUGAAACUUUUUAUUUUUUAUUGGAAAAAAACUUGGAAAAGAAAAUUAUUUUGUGAUACGGAACUAGCUCCCUCGACUCCAAAUCUAGGAGAAUAUGUCAUUUAAAUAAGGAUUUAGAAAUUGAGUUUUGUUAUUCAAAAGAGAUAAACUCUUAUCUGUUGGUUGUUAAAUCUUUCAUCAAUGAGAUCCAGUAAAAUUAUUUGUUUCUGCAUUACUUUAUGGUAAUGAGAGACUCAUUUUUGUGUGAUUUGAAAGAAAAAUCUUGUCAUAGAAAAAUCUGAAAAGACUCGAUUUUGUCGGGAAGAUCAUAUUUUAUCCAUAAUAUUAAAUAUUUUGUUAUAACUUAUAACUAUUCUCUUGUAACAAUAAAUUAUGUUUUUUAUAUUUUUUAUUGAAUUGAUGUAAGAAUAUUAAUUUAUUUUGUAUAAACUUAAUAUUAAUAAAAUUAUUAUAUUUUUUUUAAAAAAAUGACUAGUGCUGUUAAUUGUAAAUAAUUAUGUGAAUAUUGUAAAUACUUAUCAUAUACGAAAGGACUGGUCGUAUUAUUUCAAGGACGAUCAAUUUAAUUUGAUAAUUGAAUAUAUUAUAAGGCUGAACCGAAAGGACUGUUGGCAGUAAGAAAUAGUAUAUGAUUGAAUUAUUUUGGAUUCUUGGACAUAAUGAAGCAAUUCGCUUUUAAUUCUUCAGCUACCAUAAUUAAUAAUAUUGAGGUGAAAGAGCCGUUCGAAGAAAAGCGCCUUGUGUUAUAUUAAUAAUAUUUUUUUUAUUUUUUAAAAAUUAUUUUUGAUAUUAGUAUAUCAAAAUGAUUUAAAAAUAUUAAAAAAAUAUUAAUUUAAAGUUAAUAAAAAAAUAAAUAAAAAUUAAAUUUUUUGAAAAACGCUAUUGAAACGUGGAAACAAACAGUCUCGUCAUUGGUAUGAAAAACCUUCCAGAAAAUAAAAAACACUAGACAAUUAUCAUCCAAAUUAAAUACAAAAUUAAUGAAUUAAUAUAACAUUAAUAUUUUUAUAUAUAAAAUAACACAUUUUUAAACAUCAUUGUUCAUAAAGAUAAUAUAUAAUUAAUAUCAUAUUUUUGAACCAUGAUAUCAAUUUAAUAAAAAAUUUAUCAUCAAUAUUUUUAGCCAAAACGCGUCAUUUCAUUUAAAUGAAAAUAGCUUUGAAGUUGACCGUGUUUUUCAUUUUGGUUCUUGGUCUUGAAUUUAUACAAUUAGACUCUCAAUUGAUCAAUAAACUUCUAAUUUCUUCAUUUUGUCCCCUGAUUCGGUUUAAUUGCAGCCACUCUAUUUACGCGUCUUUUCCAGUUUGCUCCUUAGUUUCGGAUUUCUUCAAUUAAGUCCCUAAUUGGCCAUCAAACUUCAGUAUUUAUAUUAAAAAUUAUAUUGAUAAUAUUUUUUUAUUUUUAAAAAAUUAUUUUGAUAUCAGCACAUUAAAAUAAUUUAAAAAUACUAAAAAUAUAUUAAUUUAAAAUUAAUAAAAAAAUAAAAAAAAAUUCAAAUUUUUUCAAAAAUACUUUUGAAACGCAGAAACAAAUCAUUGGUAUGAAAAAGGUUCCAAAAAUAAGAAAAAUUAGGCAACUAUCAUCCAAAUUAAAUAAAAAAUAAUGAAUUAAUAUAACAUCAAUUUUUAUAUAUAUAAAAUAACACAUUUUUAAACAUCAUUGUUCAUAAAGAUAAUAUAUAAUUAAUAUUAUAUUUUUAAACCACGAUAUCAAUUUAAUUAAAAUUUUAUCAUCAAUAUUUAAUUAGCUUUAAUAAAAGAAAAAAAUUAAUUAAGUUCUUGUCAUUUUUAUUAUAUAAUAAAGUAUAUUUAUUGAAUUUAGUCUUAAUAGUUUAAGUUUAAUAAACAUAGCAUAGCAUGACUGAAAAACAUGAAAGGAUAUCACUCUAAUUAAUAUUUGAAAGACAUGCAUUUUUAAUUCGCAUAGCCGUCCACUCCCCUUUUAUUUCACAAGCCUCAACUUUUCUCGAGUAGAAGUUUAGAUUUAUGAGAUCAUUAAACAAUAUCUAUCACUUCAUAGACCAAUGUAAUUAUUCAUUAAGGUGUGAUUUGAUCACCUAAUUUUGAAUUUCUAGAGUCAAGAACCAAAUUAAAACACCAAGAGCUUUUCUAUUUGCAACCAAUUCAGCUUGAUUUGAAUACAUUACUCUGAUCAUGAUUGAAAAUAGUUAUUUCACAAUAUAAAUUCCAAAACUAAUUUUAUUUAAUUAUACAUAAUUAAAAUUAUUUUUUUUAAGGGAUUUAGAUUUUGAAGAAGAAAAUAUACUUUUUUUUUUAAGUCCCCAAUCCUUAUUUAUAAUCAUUUUUUAUGAUAAAAAUCUUUUUAUUAACGACAUUAUUUUUUUAACAAUCUGAAUACUUUACUUUAAGAAGGGAAAAAUUAUUUCUUGGGGAAAAACUUUCAUUUCCUUAUUGUUUUUUUCUUACAAAAACGUAAUUAAAUUAUGUUUUUUUCUUACAAAAAUAAUAAAUGCUACAUUAUGGCACUUCUGAAUUUAAACGAUUGAAUUAUUUUUUAUUCUUGCGCAUAAUGAAGUAAUUCGCUUUUAUUUCUUCAUCUACCAUAAUUAUUAUUAUUAUUUUUGUUUUAUUUACGUGGGUGUCCGGGCCAGCUUGCACACACCACGACUAAUCCCACGGCUCAUUGAACAUCCUGUAAACUCAGUGAGCAUGUAAGGCACCGCGAGGGUGAUAGGCGUACAGUUGAGGCUUGAAUCCAGGAUGCAGAGGCAAGGAAACCCCUUGCCACCGCUGGGCUAGAAGCCUUGUUGUGUAUCUACCAUAAUUACUUGCUGGUCGGGGUAAGAACCGUACGAAGAAAAACACCAUGUGUGCUCAAUUUCAUCAUUGGUGUGAAAAACGUUCGAAGAAAAGAGAUAAAUUGGGCAUACAAGUUAAAAAGAAAUGAUGAAUUAACACGGUAAUAAAAAGUUUUCAUGAAAUAAUAUAAUUUUAAAUAUUAUGGUUUAAAAAUAUAACAUAUAUUUAAUGUUAUGAUUCUAAACCGAUUUAAUCAAUGUUUUGUUGCUGAACCGCAAUACCAAGUUAUUUCCUUCACAUUUUUGCUUCACUUAAUAACUAUUACACCUAUAUAAUAUCAAUUACACUAGAGCAUAAUCAUGCAUUGUAUAAACACCUUUUAAAAUAUGGUUAGAUGAUUCUUUGAAUUUAUAAUUGAAAUUGUUAAUAAAAUAUCAGGCAUAUUAUCAAUGGUAUUCUAUAAGCUUAAACUAAAUUUUUUCUACUCCAUUCUUUAUUGAUGAAUGUUUAUCUAAUAUUAUACAAAUACAUGUUUUUCACUAGUAACAUGUCUUUGUAAACAAAGAAAAAACAACGCUAAUUAGAAUUAUUUUCUUCAACAAUUGUAAAAGCCAAUGAGAAUAUCCUAUUAUUUGCAUCAAAAGCAACUACAAGUUAUAACUUCUUAUCAUAUCGCCUCUAUAAAUAUUGUCAUCAACACUAAUAAGUGCUCUACAGUAAUUGAAAUUUUCAAUACACGAUUUAAAUAACAAAAACAAAAAAACUAAAAACAAAAGAGAAUAAAAAAGACUUUUUCUAGGUAUAGUUAAAAGGGAUGUUGCAUUGUCAAUACUGUCAAGUGAAGAAUUGUAUAAUAUGAUUUCAUAAUAUGAGGGUAUUAUGUUUGGUUUUUAUUGUGGUAAUAAUAAAUUUCUUGUUUUUGAUAUGACAGAAAAUUGGAUAAAACAAAGUAUUUUUUUAAAGUUUUGAAAACUAAACAUUCAAUAAGUCUGGUUGGCAGUAAGAAAUAUAUGAUUGAAUUAUUUUGGAUUCUUGGGCAUAAGGAAGCAAUUCGCUUUUAAUUCUUCAGCUACCAUAAUCACUGCGGACUCACAGGCAUGUGGUUGAGGUGUAAGAGCUGUCCGAAGAAAAGCACCUUGUGUGCUCAAUUUCAUCAUUGGUAUGAAAAACGUUUCAGAAAAUGAAACAAACUAGGCAAUUAUCAUAUAAAUUAAAUAAAAAAUAAUAAAUUAAUAUAACAUCAAUUUUUUUAUAUAUAUAAAAUAACACAUCUUUAGAUAUCAUUGUUCAUAAAGAUAAUAUAUAAUUAAUAUCAUAUUUUCGAACCAUGAUAUCAAUUUAAUUAAAAUUUUAUCAUCAAUAAUUUAGCUUUAAUAAAAGAUAAAAAAUUAAUUAAGUUCUUGUCAUUUUUAUUAAAUAAUAAAGUAUAUUUAUUGAAUAGUCUUAAUAGUUUAAGUUUAAUAAACAUAGCAUAGCAUGACUGAAAAACAUGAAAGGAUAUCACUCUAAUUAAUAUUUGAAAGGCAUGCAUUUUUAAUUCGCAUAGACUAUUUAUAAAAUCACACUUAAUGGAUUACAAUAGUUGGAUAAAAUAAAAAAACCAUACUAUUUGUUUUGGGAAAGUCUAGUAAAUGAACAGCCGGUGAAUUUAUAAAAUUAAAAAAUAUAUGUUUUUACUAAAUAAUGAAUAGGUAUUAAUUUAUUCUUUGUUAUAAAACUGAACACUCUUUUAUACAGGGUGUUUAUUUUGCAUAAUAUUUUAUAAAAACAAUAUUUUCCUGUUGUACAAUAAUUAUUUUUCAUAAAAUAUUUUAUGGUCAACUUUUAAAUUUAAUUCAUAUAUUGUAAAUAUUUUCAGCUUACAAGGUUUUUUAAAUUAUUUUAUAGAUAAUAAUUCAUUAUCAAUAUCAUCCAAUAAUACCAUUAUUAUCAUCUGACCUCUACCAACUUCUUAUCCUUAUCCUUAACCUAGCCAUCAAUGCUACCGCAAUUAUUGAUAUUAUUAUUUUAUCAUUAUCAUUUUACUACCACUAUAUUUUUAUCACAUCAUUAUUCAUAAAAAAAAUAUUAUAAAAAUACUAUCCAUAUAAAAUGUUUUAUAAAAAACUAUUUUAUAUGUAAAAUAUUUUAUAUUGGCAAGAACAAUUCUCUCUUAUAUCAAACAUUUUAAAGUCACAAUUAAAAUAAAUAUUCAUAACAAUCUCAAUACUUUAAGAAGGGAAAAUUUUAUUUCUUGGGGAAAAACUUUCAUUUCCUUAUUGUUUUUUCUUACAAAAACAUGUCGUUUUAGGAGCAUAUUUUUUAAAAUAAUAACUUAUUCUAAUCUAAAGAGCAAGUUUCAAACAAAAAUAAAAAUAAAAACUCAUGUCUUCAUUGAAUAUUCAUAUACAAUUUCAUUUUACAGUAUUGUGCAUAUUACACUCAUAUAUAAUUAUUAACAAAGUUAUUACAAAUAUAACUAUAAAAAGCUAUCAUUUUAUUUAAAAAAUAUGACAAUCAGAUUUUUUUAAAUAUCAUUGUAAAUAAUAAUUUAAAGCAAUUUUUUAAAUUAAAAAAAAAGUAUUUUCUUGGCUCAGAAGGUCAGGCUAGCAUGGCAUUUUUUCUUUUACAUUAAUCGGUAGACUAAAAAAAAAGUUAUGUAAAAAACAAAAAAAAACUUUAAGAAUUCAUCGAUAACAUUCCUACUGCUGAACCAACUGUCAUAUGCACAGCAUGAUGGCCAACACUUUUAGUUUCUCCUAACCUGUAUAGUAUCCUUAUAUCUGAGCUACCACGUCUUGCUACACUGCGAACACAGUACCAAAAAUCAUAAUUCGAAAAAUAAUAUAAUGUAGAAGGAAAAAAGGGGAAAAGCCGAAGUGAGUCAAAGAAAGAUAAGCUUAUCAUGUUCACAUAUGGGACUUCACAGAUACAAAUAUAAAAGUAGAGUUCUUUUGGUUUAUGAACGUACAUAUGUAUCCUUCUUUUGAUUUCAAUGGCAAGUGUAUCUCCGAAUAGACUUCCAUACGUUAAGAAUAAAUCUCUCUAUGAAUGGAUUUUAUUGUUAUUGUAAUUGUUAUGGUCUUCUUGAGGUGAAUUCCCUUCUAGCAGGCAUCAUUAUGAAUUCAUUAAUUAAAAUCAUAACAACUUUCGGAAUGCGUAAAUGCAAAUUUUAUUGGAAUUAUAUUGUGCAAGGCUAUGAAAAGACAGUAUAUAUGUCUUUCUAUUGUUCUUACAGUCACAAUAUCUUAGUCUCUGACUGCUUAUUAGACAAUCGUCUUCUCCAUCAGAGCUGGGCAUGGUUGAUAUCGUAAGCAUCAGAAUCACCAAGCUUCAGCUUAACUAGUUCGCUGAUAUCAUAUGGAUAGGCGUCCUUUGGUGACUGACGUUUAUAUGCUCUUUUUCCAAAGGCCCAAGCUUUAGCUUCAGUAAAAUGGGCUCCGUCCCAGUACACAUAGUCACUCCUGUUGCUACAUGGGAAGGAGAGAGAUUUACAUGGGACUGUACCAGGUUCUACGUCGCAACAGCUCUUACGGGUAUGUGUGAAACCUGCAAGCAAGAAAAAAUAAUUUUGGUCUCACAAAAAGUCUUUGUGAAAUAAUUAAUUCGACUUAUAAACUUAAGCUAUUAGAUAAGAUUUCAAGAUAUAAUUUAUAUUAUUUUUUAACACAUCUCCUCAAGUGAAAGCUCUUUCAACAUACCUUGUGUUUAAUUUUUAUCAAAUAAAUAGGGAUGGUAAGAUUCAAACUCGUGACCAUUAGGUCAUCAAGGCUUUGAUAGCAUGUCAAAAAACCAAUUCAACCUAAAAAUUUAAACUGCUAGGUAAAGUUCAAGAUAUGAUUUAUAUUAUUUUCUAAUAGUCUUCAACCAUGAGAGGUAAAGGGAGGGAGGGGAUUCGUACCUGUAUUUGUCUGAUCAUCAGAAUCAAUUUCGUAAGAGUUUAUGUAGGUAAACACAGCAUCAGCAUGCCUAUUAUUAAAUUUUCUGAGCAGUUCUUGAAGCUUGUGGUUGAAAAUUUGAACAUCAUCAUUGAGCUUGUAUGCACAUGAAGAUGCAUCUAGUUCAUUGGGAUGUUUUUGUAUGUUUGACGGCAUACAUCCUACCCGAAUAAGUCCGAACACAGCUAUCUUUCUUGCUCCUGAGCAAUACAGUUUCUGGCAGCAAGGGAAAAAAAACGGAAUGAAGUGGGGGUCUUUGUUAGUUUCCAAUCGCGUCAAACAUUAAUUGUUGUUUUACAAGAGACAUUAAGUAGGGCUAACCUCCAGCUGAGUUUCAUAAGUUUCAAUGAGAAGAUGAGCAAAAUAUAAUUAGACGUGGUUAAUUGUAUUUAGAUACGUAUUUGGUAAAAAUUAUGGUUGAGAUUUACGUGCAGUAAAAAAACAUGUAUAAAAUGUUUGGAUGUGAUUGCUUUUUAAAAGUGCUUUUUACUUGGAAAUGCAUCAAAAUAAUCUGAAAAUACAAAAAAAAUAAGUAAAGAAAAAAAUAAAAAAACUUUAAAUUUUUUAAAAAAUGCUUUUGAAACGCAAAAACAAACAUAGUUUUACGAAACUCAGUUAAAAAAACAUGUAAAAAAUGCUUCAUAAAAAAUGUGUUUCAAACUCAAUUUUUUAAUGGCCCCCACAAUAUAAAAUGCAGUUUGGUGUAUUACCAAACAACUAACUAUGUUUUUUACUCCACAAACACAAAAGCUAAGACUAAACAAACGUACCUUUACAACUAUUGCUAUAAUUAUUUUAUCACCUAAAUAUAUCAUUAUCAUUUUACUACCAUUAUAUUUUUGUCACAUCAUUAUUUAUAAAAAAAUAUUAUGAAAAUACUAUCCAUAUAAAAUGUUUAUAUGUAAAAUAUUUUAUAUUGGUAAAAACAAUUAUCUCUUAUAUCAAACAUUAAAAGACACAAUUACAUAAUUACAUUGAUAAAAAAAAAUUCACAAUUGCAAAUUUAAUUUAUAUUAACUACUUGAAUAAAUGAUUUUUUCAUAUAUAAUUCAAAUGAAUUAAAACACCAAGUUACCAGAACAGCAGAAACAAGAUGAAAACAGUGCACACGUAGAAAAAAAAUGAUAAAAUACAUGAAAAGAGAACCAAAAUUACAACACCAAGAGCUUUUCUAUUUGCAACCAAUUCAGCUUGAUUUGAAUACAUUACUCUGAUCAUGAUUGAAAAUAGUUAUUUCACAAUACAAAUUCCAAAACUAAUUUUUAUUUAAUUAUACGUAAUUAAAAAGUAUUUUUUUAAGGGAUUUAGAUUUUGAAGAAAAUAUAUUUUUUAAAUUGAAGUCCCCAUUCCUUAUUUAUAAUCUUUUUUUUAUGAAAAAAAUCUUUUUAUUAAUGAUAUUAUUUUUAAAUAAAAGUCAAAGUAAUUAAAAUAAAUAUUCAUAACAAUAUCAAUACUUUAAGAAGGAAAAAUUAUUUCUUGGGGAAAAACUUUCAUUUCCUUAUUGUUUUUUUCUUACAAAAACAUGUCGUUUUAGGAGCAUAUUUUUAAAAUAAUAACUUAUUUUAAUCUAAAGAGCAAGUUUCAAACAAUAAAAAAUAAAAAACUCAUGUCUUCAUUGAAUAUUCAUAUACAAUUUUAUUUACAGUAUGUGCAUAUUACUCUCAUAUAUAAUUAUUAACAAAGUUAUUACAAAUAUAACUAUAAAAAGCUAUCAUUUUAUUUUAAAAAAUAUGGCAUAAUCAGAAUUUUUUUAAAUAUCAUUGUAAAUAAUAAUUUAAAGCAAUUUUUAUAAAUAAAAACAAAAGUAUUUCUUGGCUCAGAAGGUCAGGCUAGCAUGACAUUUUUUCUUUUAAAUUAAAAAAAACUUUAAGAAUUCAUCGAUAACAUUGCUACUGCUGAACCAACUGUCAUUUGCACAGCAUGAUGGCCAACACUUAUAUCUGAGCUACCACGUCUUGCUUCACUGCGAACACUACAAAGGAAAAAAUAAUUCUUUUGGUUUAUGUAUUUACAUAUAUCCUUCUUUUGAUUUCAAUGGCAAGUGUAUCUCCGAAUAGACUUCCAUACGUUAAUAAUAAAUCUCUCUAUGAAUGGAUUUUAUGCCUGAUAUCCACAUGAUUAAGGAAUUAAGUAAUUGUUAUUGUCUUCUUGAGGCGAAUUCCCUUCUAGCAGGCAUCAUUAUGAAUUCAUUAAUUAAAAUCAUAACAACUUUCGGAAUGCGUAAAUGCAAAUUUUAUUGGAAUUAUAUUGUGCAAGGCUAUUGAAAGACAGUAAAUAUGUCUUUCAAUUGUUCUUACAGGCACAAUAUCUUAUUCUCUGACUGCUUAUUAGACAAUCGUCUUCUCCAUCAGAGCUGGGCAUGGUUGAUAUCGUAAGCAUCAGAAUCAUCAAGCCUCAGCUUAACUAGUUCGCUGAUAUCAUAUGGAUAGGCGUCCUUUGGUGACUGACGUUUAUAUGCUCUUUUUCCAAAGGCCCAAGCUUUAGCUUCAGUAAAAUGGGCUCCAUCCCAGUACACAUAAGUCACUCCUGUUGCUACAUGGGAAGGAGAGAGGUUUACAUGGGACUGAACCAGAUGCUACCUCGCAGCAGCUCUCACGGGUAUAUGUAAAACCUGCAAGCAAGAAAAAAUAAUUUUGGUCUCACAAAAAAAGUCGUCUUCAACCGUGAGAUAAAGAGAGCAAGGGAGGGAGGGGAUUCGUACCUGUAUUUGUCUGGUCAUCAGAAUCAAUGUCGUAAGAGUUUAUGUAGGUAAACACAGCAUCAGAAUACCUAUUAGUAAGGUUUCUGAGCAGUUCUUGAAGCUUGUGGUUGAAAAUUUGAACAUCAUCAUUGAGCUUGUAUGCACAUCUAGAUGCAUCUAGUUCAUUGGGAUUUUUUUGUCUGUUGGACGGCAUACAUCCUACCCGAAUAAGUCCGAACACAGCUAUCUUUCUUGCUCCUGAGCAAUACAGUUUCUGGCAGCAAGGGAAAAAAAAACAGAAUGAAGUGGGGGUCUUUGUUAGUUUCCAAUCGCGUCAAACAUUAAUUGUUGUUUUACAAGAGACAUUAAGUAGGGCUAACCUCCAGCUGAGUUUCAUAAGUUUCAAUGAGAAGUUGAGCAAAUUCUUCAGGAGUAUGUAGCUUGCUGCUAUUGUAGUCGUCCAAGAAAUAAUUGUUGAGGUAGUCGUUAUGGCCCAUAUCAGACACAUAGAUGCAUUGGCUCAAGUACUUCCUAGCAACUUCCUCGCUUCCCAAGAUCUUGGCAAUUCGUGAAACCGUGAUAUUGUGAUUAUAUAACUGAAUAUUCAUGGUAAAUAGUUCUCCCUUCACAUACACAAAAGAAUCAUAUGAAUAGUUAGCGUUGCCAAAGCAUACAAGAUUCAUAGUACUGAAUAGUAUAAGGUUUUAGUUAUGAGAGGCAUAUGAUCAGCAAUCACCGUAAGAUAGCCAGUUAAAUCAAGGAUGCCAGCUCCAUUCGAUCCAUAAUUUACCCCAUCUAGGAAAUUGGUGCAACUUCCGAUACCAAAGUCCGAAAUGUAACUGUCGAAACCUAAUUGUUCAGCUGAAACAAAAAACUAUCUAGUGAGAACAUAUUUAUUUUCCAUUAAAGAAAACUAAAACACUAUAUUUAAUCUGUAAUGUAAGGUAGGAGAGCAAACUGCAGACCAAUGGUGUCAGCUAUGUUGAGACCGUUACUGCACCUUCCUGAAGCCCCAGUAUCAAAGUCUAUCCCAUAGGGAAGGUAAUUGACUUUAGCUGGAGUGUUAAGGUAGUUAUUGUUUCCGUUAUCAAAGAGGGAAUCUCCAAAGACGAAGUAGCAAGGAACUUGAGGUACGCGUUUUCCAUAAGUCGAGUGUUGCCAGUUUGACACCAGCAACACCGCAGACAGCACCCACAAUGCCUUAAGCCCACUUUCCAUUGACAAAUAAAAUGAAAGAAGGAAACAGAAACAAUAAAUAUAGAAAGAAGAAGUGCGU